rnacentral:rRNA from 1 species
UACAGAGGUCCCAAGCGUUGUUCGGAAUCACUGGGCGUAAAGGGUGCGUAGGCCGCACGGUAAGUCAGAGGUGAAAUCCCGGAGCUCAACUCCGGAAUGGCCUCCGAUACUGCCGUGCUCGAGGACUGGAGAGGAGUCUGGAAUUCACAGUGGAGCAGUGAAAUGCGUAGAUAUUGUGAGGAACACUAGUGGCGAAGGCGAGACUCUGGACAGUUCCUGACGCUGAGGCACGAAGGCCAGGGGAGCAAACGGG